CACACACACACACACACACAUACUCUUCGCUUCGGCCUUACCUUUCCUUUCAUGUGAUUUCGUCGAAGAAAGAAAAAAAGCUCCAACUCCGUAUCCCCACCCCCCUUUUGUGUCCUAAAUUUCCAACAAACUCUUAACCCACACGUUGUUACUUCUUCUUCUUCUUCCUUUUUCUCUUUUUAAUAUUAGAUCUUUCUUAAUUAUUAUGUUUUUCUCAGCUCUCCUCUGAAUGUACUGUGGAUAUGGCGGGACAGACUGUCAAAGUCCAGAGACAGGUGCUCGAGGAAUGCAUGACAUGUCCUCUUUGUAACAAGCUCUUAAAAGAAGCUACUACGAUUUCUUUGUGUCUCCAUUCCUUCUGCAGGAAGUGCAUAUAUGAAAAGCUCUCAGAUGAAGAGGUAGAUUGUUGUCCUGUAUGCAACAUUGAUCUGGGUUGUCUGCCAGUGGAGAAACUCAGGCCAGACCAUAAUUUGCAAGAUAUAAGGGCCAAAGUAUUUCCUUUUAAGAGAAGAAAAGUUAAUGCCCCUGAAAUUAUGCCUUCGAUUGCAUUGCCAGCAAAAAGAAAGGAGAGAUCAUUAUCAUCAUUGGUGGUCAGCACUCCCAAAGUGCCAAUUCAAAAUGGCUUGACGGGAAGGAGAUCCAAAGCUGGUGCCAGAAAGGCUGCUGCAUUACGAGGAUGCAAUUUUACUGUUGCGGAAUCCAAGAAAGAAGAUUCUGCUGAAGAUAAUCCGAUGAGCCCAAGCUCACCAGGGUCUCCUGUCAAAAGUAUUCAAAAGAGAAGGCUGGAUUCCUCUGUGGCUGAACCUUCUACUGAGCAAAGAUGUAAUGAUGAUGACGAGGAUGAGGAUGUUGAAAUAAUUGAAGGGAAGGCUGAUCUAUGGACCCCCUUGAAUUGUCUUGUUGAAGCUGCGAACAGAACCAAGUCCUCCAAAUCGCAUUCACAAGGGCUGUCUUUAGUCAAAUCUGGCAUGCUUGAUGAUCCUGAUUGUGAACCACAUCUGUAUGAAACAAAACCCCGAGCAGAAUCACCCGGUGGUCAUCACAGUGAAGUAUAUAUGUCUAAAACAAAAAAUAAGGAGCAUGGACAGGGAAUAGGAGUCCAAGAUGACAAGAAUGGGAAAAAUUCACCUCCCAUAUCAGUGAAGCGGAGAAGGUUAAGUGCAGCACGAAAAAGGGCAGCUCUGUCUGAGGGGUUGAGUGCCUCAGCUCAAGCAAUGAUAGAUGCUGCAUCAGCUAAGAGCAAUAGAAGAAAUGGUCCAAUAUGGUUCUCAUUGGUUGCCUCUGAAGACCAGAAAGAAGAUGCUUCCUUGCCGCAGAUAUCCACGUGCUACUUGAGGAUUAAGGAUGGUAAAAUGCCUGUGUCUUUCAUUCAGAAGUACCUUGUAAAGAAACUUGAUCUCGAUUGUGAGACUGAGGUGUGUUCAUCUCUCUUGCCUUCCUCAAAAUAUAAUUUCCUUGUUGGUUAACUCGUUAAAAAUUGCUGUGAUUUUCAUUUGUCAGCUCUAUUGUCGUUUGCUGGCUCUUUAUUAUUGCUUGUAAAAGGUCAGGAACAGAUAUCGAGCUUGUAACUACUGUUGGGUGUAACUUGAAAUUAAUUUUUUUUUUUUUUUGUGGAAAGAUCCCGGGGGGCAUGUUUCCUUACUUCUCUUGUGCCUGAGGAUACUGACUCAUUUAACCCUAGGAAGUUUAGUUGGAAUGAUUUGAAUAAUUCCUAAAGCUUCAAGAAUCAAAAUGAUAGAACCUUUUGUCAAGUGUCAAUAAGGCUUCAUGUUUUCAUACCAAGAUCUGCUAGGGAAUCUUAAAUCAUAUGAUAAAAUGUACUCUAUCUUCAAUCAAUGUACAUUCAACUCUUAUCUUUUGAGUAACUUUUAAUAAAUACUGGCAUAGUUGCUUGAUGUUCUUGUGGGGGAAAAAUCUGAACUAUGCAAGUGACUUUGCUAGGAAGCUUGGAUAUGUGGUCCCCACUUUUUCUGACAGUUCAUUGUUUCCUAAAAUUGUUGUUACAUAGUUGAUAAAAUUGUUCGUGGACAUUCCUAAUACUUCAAGUCAUGAUUUUUAGAAAUGGCAUCAUAACAUUUGAUUUGUGUGCUUAUAAUGGAAUGAACACUAGCUGCUGCUGCUGCUGCUUCUUUCGUCUUCUUCUUUUUAAUUUUGUAGGUGGAAAUACUUUGCCGGGGUCAGCCUGUCCGGCCAACUUUGCAAUUACAGAACUUAGUAGACUUGUGGUUUCGAACUGGUUCGACAUCAAAAAAAGUACCAGCAUCUGUGGGUUCGUCAGCUAAGGACUUCGUGAUGGUAUUGUCAUAUUGUCGGAAAGUCCAAGAGUCUUAAAAUAUACCUUUAACCUGACUGUCAUCUCGAUGAUUAUUUGCAUCUUCAGUUAUGAAAUAUUUAUGUUGGAUUUUCAACAUCUGUAACCUUUCUGUGAUCUUUAAAUCAAAUCAUCACAUGCUUGCUGCUUUGUUUCAUGCAUGUGAUUACAUGUAUGAAUAUAUUUAUAUUUCAUUUAUUAUAAUAGAGAGCCACAUCACUUACGUUUCUAUUCUUUCUCAA